UACGUAGGGUGCGAGCGUUAAUCGGAAUUACUGGGCGUAAAGCGUGCGCAGGCGGUUAUGUAAGACAGUUGUGAAAUCCCCGGGCUCAACCCUGGGAAUUGCAUCUGUGACUGCAUAGCUAGAGUACGGUAGAGGGGGAUGGAAAUUCCGCGUGUAGCAGUGGAAAUGCGUAGAUAUGCGGAGGAACACCGAUGGCGAAGGCAAUCCCCUGGACCUGUACUGACGCUCAUG
rnacentral:rRNA from 1 species